AAAUUUAGGUUGUAUAAUUGCUCACGGUGUAGACUUAAAUGAGAAUUUAGAGAUUUGUCUUCUUUGUUCUUACAUGGUUGUUUGGUUAAGUUUGCAUGAUUGUUGGUUGAUCACAUGUAAAUAUGUAUAGAAGUAAUUUAGGAUUUAUUUUCAAUGUUUAUUCCAAAAUCAUCAAAACCUUUAAACCCUAUAUGCUUAUUUCGACAUUUUUAUUAGAUUAGAUGGAUCUACCCUGUAGUUGGAUCCUCGGUUUAGAACGAUCCCUGCUUGCUUUAUACUACGAUUGAUUUGUUGACAGGGUUAAUUGAUGCGUGUGCAAAUACGUCUUAUCAAAUGGCGUCGUUGCCGGGGAUCCUUCGGGAUCCUCGAUCUUUUUAAUUGUCAAAAUUUGCAUUGUAUAUAUGUCUAUAUGUUUAUAUUUGUAAAGUUAAAACCAUAAAUUUGUAUAUGAUGUAAUUGUGUUUUAUUUUUGUCUUUCUACUUUAAUACUUGUAUGAAUAAUGUUGUAGGUUGUACUGCACAGGAAUAGGUAGGAUCCCUUUUGUUAAUUCUAGCCUUAACCCUUCUUGUUUACUCUCGGGUUUGCAUAAGGUUGUGGGCGGCUUUUAUUAACACUUGGAGUCAUGUUUGGUUCAUAAGUUUGUUGCUAGCUGAGUACAUUGGUACGCUCCUUCUAUUACUCUGGUGCAUGGGACCAAAAUUGGAUCUCAAGAGCCUUGAAAACAUACAUCUCGGUGAUGGAGUUCUCAUUGCUCACUAAACGAGUCCUACCAUGUUCACUAUCUCUGGAUUGAGCUAUUGACCUUUAGAAACAACGCUUCAAGCUUGUGAUCAAAACAUCUAUAUCCAGGCCGCACGUCCACCGUGUCUUACCAUCUAGAAUCAUUAUUUAUUUAAGUAUUUUAGUAGUCAACUCGAAAAUAAGUUUGUAUGACUAUGUAAUCUUAAAGAUUGGUGCCAUGUAUGAUUUGUAUUUC
rnacentral:lncRNA from 1 species